ensembl:processed_transcript Gm44597 predicted gene 44597
UUUGUUUUGCUUCAAGAUGGCUGCUGGGAUGUAUUUGGAACAUUAUCUGGACAGUAUUGAAAACCUCCCGUUUGAAUUACAGAGAAACUUUCAGCUCAUGAGGGACCUAGACCAAAGGACAGAGGACCUGAAGGCUGAAAUUGACAAGUUGGCCACUGAAUAUAUGAGUAGCGCCCGCAGCCUGAGCUCCGAGGAGAAGCUGGCCCUUCUCAGACAGAUCCAGGAGGCCUAUGGCAAGUGCAAGGAAUUUGGUGACGACAAGGUGCAGCUGGCCAUGCAGACCUAUGAGAUGGUAGACAAACACAUUCGGCGGCUGGACACAGACCUGGCCCGUUUUGAGGCUGAUCUGAAGGAGAAACAGAUCGAGUCCAGUGACUAUGACAGCUCUUCUAGCAAAGGCAAAAAGAGCCGGACCCAAAAGGAGAAAAAGGCUGCCAGAGCCCGUUCCAAAGGGAAAAACUCAGAUGAAGAAGCCCCCAAGGCUGCCCAGAAGAAGUUAAAACUUGUGCGCACGUGAGUAUACCAGAGGACGCCCGCCUCCCAGCCAGCCUCGUGCCACUUUCCCUGUCUUCUGUGCCAGUAACUCUGUCACUGUGGUGUCUGCUGGACGGAGAGGAAGCCACACAUCACUUGCCUCACCACGAUCUUCUACCACCUCAGAGCGCAGGUUGUAGCUUCCCUUCCUGCGGAUGACAUUUGUCUUCCUCUUGGCAUACAGAAGUCCUGAGUAUGGGAUGCCCUCAGUGACCUUUGGCAGUGUCCACCCCUCUGAUGUGUUGGAUAUGCCUGUGGAUCCCAACGAACCCACAUAUUGCCUUUGUCACCAGGUCUCCUAUGGAGAGAUGAUUGGCUGUGACAACCCGGAUUGUUCCAUCGAGUGGUUCCACUUCGCCUGUGUGGGGCUGACAACCAAACCUCGAGGGAAAUGGUUUUGCCCACGCUGCUCCCAAGAACGGAAGAAGAAAUAGGUUUCCCUGGAUUCCAUUACAGACUUCUGCAUCCCCCUGACCUGGGCUAGUGGACAGAGUGGAAGGCCUGUGCUGGGGACGGGGGGCCCAGGGAGAUGUGGACAGUGCGGUACCGUCAUCCCUCUCCCUCCUCCCCACUCGGUGCUGAGGCUGCAUCCAAACCCCAGUAGGGAGGGUGCCGCAGCCAGUGACGGUAUGUGCUCUCCUCCCGCCUCUCCCAGAGGGAAGUAAUCUCACUCACUGUCCUUUUGCCUCCUUGGUGAGGUUGGUGCUGUAUUUCAGAGGGAGGGUCCUCUUCAUUCCCCUUGCUUUGACUUAAGGACUGGGGCAGUGGAGUGGGGCACUUUCCCAGUCCCCUCACUCCUCCUUCCCCCAUUGGGAGCUAGGCAGGACAGACUGCCUUCUCUGCACUCUUCCUGUUCUCCAUGGGGAGGGUUCUUCUAGGUCAUUUGGGCAGUGGCCUAGUUAAGUGGUUACCCCAACCUCUAUGGCCCGGGGAUUUAUGCUGACUCUGAAUGGGAGAGGGGCAAGGUAGACCGCAGGUUACUCACAUGUAAAAGGAGUUGGGGUAGGUAAAUAAAAGCUAUCCAUGCUAGCCUGCUGUGUUUAUUGUAGAGACUGUUUAAGUAUAUGUGGUAAGCAUUCUUUUCGCAUCCUCUGGAUUGGAUGAGAGGCAGGAAGAUGGCUUGCCAGAAAUAGGACAAGACAUAAAAUCCAAAAUGGUCCUGUCCUGUGGUGUCCACAGCUUCUCCACCUGGAGGAGUGCCUUGCAUCGGGGGACUCAGAAUUUUGUAAUUACGAAUCUCCUCUCCGUGAAACACCUUUAACCCAAUUCCAAUAAAUCAUGUAUUUGCUUUAUAUGUGUGUGCGGUGAUAGUAUUAGCUUGAUUUCUUCUAAAUACAAAAUAGAUACAAACAGGUAUUUUCUCCCCAUCUCCCUAUGAGUUGUGUUGGUCCCCUCCCUCUUGAAACGGUAUCCCUUGGACCACUGAACCAUCCUUUCAUGUGUGCUCGCCUUGGUCAGCCCUGCUUCAUUUUAACUUUGGGCCUGUUUCCUACGGAAGAGGUGUCCUCCCUAGUUCCUACCCCUCCCUGCCUUCCUUUCAGACAUCCAGCUCUGCUGCCCACAGUGCUGCCUAUACUCAACAGCCAGGUCUCCACAAAACCGCGGAUGUUGCUUCGCAAAACCCACCAUCUUUAUCUGAAGAAGGGGUCAUAGUACACACCUCCUGGGUCUAGGGGUUAAGUGGCAGGAAGUAGCGCGCAGACCCCGGGGUUACAGCUAGGAGAAAUUAGGAGCAGGAUUUUAGGUUCACUUCCCGGCAACACAAAAAUAAAUUCGAAAAAAGUGGUACCGAGCAAUAGAGGUCCUACGCUGUUGAAGACCGACUGGAAGGGCUGCUGUAGCCUGUGGCUCCUGACAUGGCCCCCUUGUCCUUGGCCUGCUACUGGUGCAGCUCAGAGGAGUUCACCUCGUGGCCUGGCCCCGCCCUCACCUUCUGUGACGUAGCAGCCGCGCCUCCUGCCUUCUUCGCGCUAGCAGCGAGGCUCGGCCCGUUGGAGGUCGCUUUGUUGUGAAAACGCGGGUGGAUCUUCCCAGGCCAUGAUGAAUCUAGCUGCUGGCUUCCUUCUAAUGCUUCUGGAAGUGCUGCUCCUGCCUGGAACACCUCUUUCCGCUGAGGAAUCUCCAGCCUCCACUCCAGGCAGCCCUCUCUCGUCCACUGAGUAUGAACGUUUCUUCGCCCUGCUGACCCCAACCUGGAAGGCAGAGACCACCUGCCGCCUCCGUGCCACCCACGGCUGCCGGAACCCCACUCUCGUUCAGUUGGAUCAAUAUGAAAACCACGGAUUGGUACCAGAUGGUGCUGUCUGCUCCGAUCUCCCUUAUGCUUCCUGGUUUGAGUCCUUCUGCCAGUUUGCUCAGUAUCGUUGCUCCAACCAUGUCUACUAUGCCAAGAGGGUCCGGUGCUCCCAGCCCGUCUCCAUCCUAUCCCCCAACACUCUCAAGGAGGUGGAGUCUUCAGCAGAAGUUCCUCCCACUUCCAUGACCACCCCCAUUGUGUCCCAUGCCACAGGUGAGACCUCCCAGAGUGGGGACUGCAGUUCCCAGCCCUAGCUUGGCAGCUUGCAACAGUCUGUAACUCCAGUCCUGGGAGAUCCAACGCCCCCUUCUGGCCUCCACAAGCACUGCAUGAAUCCAGGCAAAACACCUAUAU